rnacentral:rRNA from 1 species
UACGUAGGGUGCGAGCGUUAAUCGGAAUUACUGGGCGUAAAGCGUGCGCAGGCGGUUCGUUAAGUUCGUUGUGAAAGCCCCGGGCUCAACCUGGGAAUUGCGAUGAAGACUGCAAGGCUUGAAUCUGGCAGAGGGGGGUAGAAUUCCACGUGUAGCAGUGAAAUGCGUAGAGAUGUGGAGGAACACCGAUGGCGAAGGCAGCCCCCUGGGUCAAGAUUGACGCUCAUGCACGAAAGCGUGGGGAGCAAACAGG